ensembl:lncRNA
AUGCACGAUUUUGAUUCUGUUGCCGAAAACCAUUUUAGCGGUUUUAUAGUUCUAUAGGUAGCUGGGUGUGUGUUUGUUACUAUAACCAUCAUGCUUGUUCAUGCAGGACUAUUAAUGGGGAGAACACAUUGCCAGAAGAAUCAUGGGAUGGUCAGCUGACAGUACAAUACGAUAUGCAGGCUAUAAGAAGAAAGAUGCAGCAGUUUAUUGAGGAAGUUCCACUAGUCCGCUAGGAGUCAGGGAUUAUAUCAGGGAAUAUUUGAAGGCUAAAAAGUUCAACUCCUGGCAGAGAGACUUCUUGACCAGUAUGGGGUUACUAUCUGCUCUGCCGGAUGUGUGCAAAUCAGCCCUACCAGCAAACAGGCCCGUGAUAGCAGGAUGCAACACCAGCAUGGACAAAUGGGUCGUCUCCAUGGAGCCUUUAGUAUGCCACACCCCAUUCUGUGGUGUUGGCCCACCUGCCUCACUAUACCUUUAAGCAAGAAGGACCACUCUGAAGCUAUUAGAAGACUUGUGAGUAACACACAUCGACUCUGAGCGGUGGACCAAAUCACAGUGUGCAGAAUAGAAGUACAAUGGUAAAUGGUCUGCAAUUAUAUAUAUGCUUUUAUCCAAAGCGCUUUACACUGUGUCUCAUUCACACACACACUCGCACACCAACGGUAGCAGAGCUGCCACGCAAGGCGCUAACUUGGGGUUCAGUGUCUUGCCCAAAGACACUGCAGUAUGUGGAGUUACGCGGGCUGGGAAUUAAACCACCAACCCUACGAUUAGUGGACGACCCGCUCUACCACCUGAGCUACCGCCGCCCUUAAUACAAUACACCACGCCAAUACCACAGAUGGCCAAAGGUUUGUGGACACCUGAGCGUCAUGUCUAUAUGUGCAUGUAGCUGACCCUGACUGUGCUAGCUGACCCUGACUGUGCUAGCUGACCCUGACUGUGCUAGCUGACCCUGACUGUGCUAGCUGACCCUGAUCGUGCUAGCUGACCUUGAUCGUGCUAGCUGACUCUGAUAGCAACUAGCUAACAACAGAAUAAGAAAUGCCCCGUGCUUCAGACACACCAGUGAAUAUUUAGCCAUAUUUAAUUUUGUUACAUUCUAAUACACAGGUUUUAUUUAUUUAUUUAUUUAUAUGCUUCUGAAUGCAUCGCACAAACACUGUCGUAUUACGUUUCACUUAUUGUACUCUUAUAAUGUUUAAUAUUUUAAUCAAUUGAAAAUGGACACCUAAGGCACGUAGCCUAUAUAGGCAAUGCGUAUAAAAAAAUGUAUCAUAUCGUAUCGAGACACCACUGUAUCAUAUAUCAUAUCAUAUCGGGUUUGAAUAUCAUGUAUCGUUACACCCCUAAUAUGUAACUGGAUAUUUUUCCGUCAAUUGCAAUUGCUAAAUUGCAGUGGAGAUUUUAGACGUAUAUUUAGACAAAUAUAAAUUGUGCUUGAUGGAUGUGCACAGGUACAAGUUGGAGAACUGUCAAAAUAACAUAAUCAGGUGUAGGUGUUUUGCAUCAGUCUGCUGGCAUGCAUGUGUAGAUCUUGGUGGUGUCAUGGUGACUUUUUGAUAAUAGGGAUCACAACAACACUUAACAGAGGCAUAAACCGGUCUUAAAGCAGUCUGCACGUCUGACGCUCGCCACAUCCUCAGCCGUAUGCUACAGUAUAUACUGUAGUUACAGUACACACGCGUAGCAAGAAUAUUUAAGGAAAGUACACCAGGUUGCCUUUGUAGUUUUGCUCAAUUACUAUAGAAACAGUCAUUCAAAUCGGACCGCUACAUAUAAUAAGUGUCGUACUGAUCGUGGCAUCACAAUGUGCUGAAAUAUUUUCAUAUGUCGUCGCUAAACUCUGUGGAGAAAAUGCACAGUGGAGCAGAGCAGCAUUGCGUCCGUGUUCUUCUGCAUCCAUUCAAAGCCAUUACUACCUGUCUAACCGGAAGGGGAGCAUUAGGACCGGGGCAGGAUGUGCGUUCGCGUCUGAGAGAGAGGGGUUUAUGUGACUGUGCGUGGGAGAACUGCAAGAUGCAGGAGCACUGAGGACGCACAAUCUCACCAUGGCGUGUCCCCCAUCCCCUUCCCCUGUUUAAGAGCACCAUCU